UUCAAAAUUUUGUGCUCGGAAUCCCUAGGGCUACCGUAAAGUUCGCCCGAGAAGAAAGAAUCGGACCUCAAUUCUCCUUCAAGGGCGCUUAUUUUUUCACCAGAGCCAAUUUAUUAAAUCACUUGUGAUAAGCAGGAGUUAUCACUAGCAAAGCAAAGGCUACAGGUAUCCAUCCUUGAAAGAACUGACUGUGAAGCACAUAGUCGCGAUUACUUUUUUUUGACAGGAUUUGGGUGGUUCAGAUCCUGAAGAUGCAGAGUCUCAAGAUCGCUUGCAUUACUCACAUUGUAGGAUCAUAAUGGGAGUCCUUGGUAAAUUUCGAACUCCUUACAAGAAAGUUCCUGGUGCCAAGAAGCUUACCCGAGCAGAAAAACUCUUCAAUUGCUAAGAAAAGGUCCUCCUUGAUGAUAUUCCAAGCAUUCUUGAAGAAAAAAGCACUGAAACCAUCAGGCCCUGGAGCUUUGCCAUUUUCCACGGAGAAAACAGCUUUUUUUAUCUCAUCUCUAGAGACAGGCCUGCUCAGUUCAUUACACUGGCUUUGGGAGAGAACUGGUCCACUUGAAAUCACAGUUGGGUCAGGAUGCGUGGUAGGUGUUUUUGUACCAAUGAGAUUUUUGUAAUAAUCAGUAAAUUCACUUAUGAUCCCGACAUAUCUGAGAUUCUGAUCCCAUUCUCAGAUUGUAUUGAUAGAAUUCUAUUUUGAUGUCUCUUAGCC